CCUACGGGAGGCAGCAGUGGGGAAUAUUGCACAAUGGGGGAAACCCUGAUGCAGCGAUGUCGCGUGGAGGAUGAAGGUUUUCGGAUUGUUAACUUUUUUUAUUAGGGACGAUAAUGACGGUACCUGUAGAUAAAGCUCUGGCUAACUUCGUUCCAGCAGCCGCGGUACUACGUAGGGAGCGAGGGUUGUCCGGAAUUACUGGGUGUAAAGGGAGUGUAGGUGGGACGUCAAGUCAGAUGUGAAAGUUGAGGGCUCAACCUUCAGACUGCAUUUGAAACUGCUGUUCUUGAGUGAAGUUGAGGUAAGCGGAAUUCCUAGUGUAGCGGUGAAAUGCGUAGAUAUUACGAAGAACUUCGAUUGCGAAGGCAGCUUACUAAGCUGUUACUGACACUGAGGCUCGAAAGCGUGGGGAGCAAACAGGAUUAGAUACCCCAGUAGUC
rnacentral:rRNA from 1 species